rnacentral:rRNA from 1 species
AGGGUUUGAUUCUGGCUCAGAACGAACGCUGGCGGCAGGCUUAACACAUGCAAGUUGAACGGGAUUGUUAAGUAGCUUGCUAUUUAACAAGAGAGUAGCGCACUGGUGAGUAACACGUGGGAACGUACCUUUUGGUGGGGGACAACAUCUGGAAACGGAUGCUAAUACCGCAUAAGACCUGAGGGUGAAAGAUUUAUCGCCGAAAGAACGGCCCGCGGAAGAUUAGGCAGUUGGUGGGGUAAAGGCCUACCAAACCUACGAUCUAUAGCUGGUCUGAGAGGACGAUCAGCCACACUGGAACUGAGACACGGUCCAG